UUUGUGCCUUCAGUCUCUUGCCUCAGCACCUAGGUGCUCUCACCCACAUGGAGGCAGAGGUGGCAGGCGUGCAGGGCAGCGUGCCCGGACCCAGAUGGCAGGCACGUCACUGACCAGUGACCGGGGCUCUGCCCACCUGGCCCGGCGCGUUGGCCCCCUCGCUAUGCGGCUUUGCGCUGGCUGCUUUCCUGAGUCAUCAGGGUUUAGGCCCUAUUCUGCUGCCUCUGAGCGCCUGUGACCUGCCAAGGCCUCUACCCUCGGCCUGGGUCCCUUGGGGUGUCGCUGACUGACUGGGACCCUGAGGCUGCCCGUGUGGUAGGUGUGUCCACCCCUACACCCACCCAAGCAACGCAGAGGAAUGAAAAAUAAUGCCUCGAGGAGCUGGUCCAGGGCCGGGAGCAGUGGCUGACGCCUGGAAUCCCAGCACUUCGAGAGGCCGAGGUGGGAGGAUUGCUUGAGCCCAGGAGUUUGAGAACAGCUUGGGCACACAUGGUGAGACUGUCUCCACAAAAAAUUAAAAAUAGCCAGGUGUGGUGGCACGCACCUAGAGUUCCAGCUACAGAAGGUGGCACGCACCUAGAGUUCCAGCUACAGAAGGUGGCACGCACCUAGAGUUCCAGCUACAGAAGGUGGCACGCACCUAGAGUUCCAGCUACAGAAGGUGGCACGCACCUAGAGUUCCAGCUACAGAAGGCUCUUACAGGGGAGGCGGGACAAGCCUGAGCUCAGGAGGUCGAGGCUACGGGGAACCCCAGGUGAUUGUACCACUGCAGUCCAGCCUGGGUGACAGAGCGACGCCAUCUCUCAGGAAAAAGAAAAAGGAGCUGGUCAGGGAGGCCUAGAGCAAAUAGCUGCUAGAAUGUGGCACUGCCCAGGGCGGGGAGGGCUGGGGGGCCUUGAGGUGGACCAGGAGCCUGAGUUGAGGGUUGGGGGCAGGUGGAGGGACCGGGAGGCCCGGGGCUGUCUUAGGAGAGCCCUCCUGACACCUAGGCCCUGGGCCGGGUUCCUCCUGGUGGAACAUCCCAGACCUGAGCCCUCCCGCUCACUUUUCCCUGGACCUACAUGCAAGGAGCUGCGGCAGCCGUCUGCCCCCAGGCUGAGGCCCCAGGACAGGCCCCUCCUCACUUUGGUGGCGGUCAGACCCAGGGCGGGUGCAAGCCCUUGGCAAUGCUCCCCGACACUGCCCCUUGGACCUCAGGGGUGUGGGGAGGACAGACCAGGGCAGGACCCAGGAGGCCACGAGGGUGGGUGGGAGUCACGGUCCUGGCAGCCCCACAUUCAAGGGCUCUGCCCUCCUGUACCCACCCCCGGAGGGGGAACCUCUUGAGGGAUCAUGGGCCCUGUCUCCCCGCCUGCGCUUCUGGGAGAUCAAGAGUAGCUGUGAAAUUUCUAGAAGUGCCCGACCUGGCGGACGGGCAUGGAGGCAGCUCCUGGGUGUGCCCUGGCACGGCCUGACAGGGCUGGAGUCCUGAUGGGCUGUGGGUAGGUCCUCAGACGGCCUCCCGGCUCCUGCCUCACCCCCUCCCCACGGGCCCUGUGCCAGCGGCAGGUCCUCAGACGGCCUCCCGGCUCCUGCCUCACCCCCUCCCCACGGGCCCUGUGCCAGCGGCAGGUCCUCAGACGGCCUCCCGGCUCCUGCCUCACCCCCUCCCCACGGGCCCUGUGCCAGCGGCAGGUCCUCAGACGGCCUCCCGGCUCCUGCCUCACCCCCUCCCCACGGGCCCUGUGCCAGCGGCAGGUCCUCAGACGGCCUCCCGGCUCCUGCCUCACCCCCUCCCCACGGGCCCUGUGCCAGCGGCAGGUCCUCAGACGGCCUCCCGGCUCCUGCCUCACCCCCUCCCCACGGGCCCUGUGCCAGCGGCAGGUCCUCAGACGGCCUCCCGGCUCCUGCCUCACCCCCUCCCCACGGGCCCUGUGCCAGCGGCUGUGAAAACAGAGGCCAGGAAGCGAGGUGGUGCUCCCUUUGUUUCUGGCAAAGCAUGUGGCACCUGGAGCCACCUUCCGGGUUCACGGCCCUGGGGCCCUGGGGACGGAGGGAACGGGGUGCACAGUGGCCAGGGAUGUUCAGCGUCACCGGUGGAAGGGGUGAUACCCGUUCUUCCUGGUGUUGAGGGUUUGUGCCUUGACUCCGGAAAGCAGAGACUGUGGAGCAGGGCCCACUUCAAAGCACAGGGCUGGGGGCUGUGACCUUGGCCCUCUGUGGACAAGGGAAAGGUGGGUGGCCCUGGACUGGUGAAGGACUGGCCAGGAGGAGUUCUGUAGGGGCCCCCCUCCUGCCAGCCCCCAGCCCACAGUUGACCAUUGCCUGCCCUGGAGCAGGAGACUUCCUUCCUGCUGCCCCGGACCUGGGAUCUGAGACCCAGAAGCCGACUCCAUCCUUUGUCUGUUCUGUUCUGAGGCUACCCCUGCCCCUACCUCCAGGUGGCCCUGGGCUUGCCUGACCACCCGCCUGCAGUGUUGGCUGAAGAGGGUAACAUGCUUGCGCCCUGCUGGCUGCUGCUGGCUGCUCCCGGCUGCUCCCCGGUGGCUCCCUAGCGGCUCCCUGGUGGUGCCCUGACUGUGCCCCGCUGGCCUUGGGUCUGGUGGGCGUAGCCCUCCUGAUGGCACCAGGUCACACGCUGGAGCACGUGGGCCUCGCGAUGCUGAUGGAGGCGGGUUCCUGGGCAUGUGGAGCUGUCCCUUACACGAAGCACCUGAGGGGCCUCCGACCAGCCGGCCCCCCCACCCCAGGGGUUAGGGCUCUGCCAUGGGGGUGUGGGCAUCUGCUCUGACAAAUGACAUGUGCAUUUGAUUGGUGUUGGGGUCCGUGCCAGGGGUGGUGGAGAAUGAAAAAACACACAAAAGACAAAGACACACAGAGAACAUG